UUCUCGGUUACCUGCGCGGCUGCAGGCGCCGCCGGGGACUGCACAGGUGGUUUCAGCUUGGAUAAUGGCCUCAGAGAGGGACGAAAAACGCCCCCUGGUUUCCCAGCAGGGUCCGGGGACCCGUCUUAGGUCCCAAGCCUCGAAAAACGUCCCAGGGCGGCUGUGCGGGGUCUGGCGGCGGGAAAGAAGCCCGGGGCACGCUCGGUUUCCGGAUACGGCUAUUCACCGCACCUCACCCUCUGCCCUUUAGGGAGAUGGCCCCCCUCCACCGAUAUUUCCCCGGUUCACCACCCCCACGCCCCGGGAACCGCGCCUCCUCCCCUCCCCCGCGCUCUCCCCGGCGCUUUAAGUAAUGAUAUUUGCAUGCAGGGAGCGAUUCAUAAAUAUGUCAGGGCUGGUGAAAUAUAGGCAACAUUUCAAACUUUCUAUUUAAAAAACAUGAAUUAUGGCCGCGGAAAAUGUGUUCCCAUUUAAAGGCGAUACGAAGUAUUUGGUGUCUCGUCCCCGGGCCCAUCCAUCACGCAGACAAUAAAGAGAGUUUUUCGCCCU
rnacentral:lncRNA from 1 species